rnacentral:rRNA from 1 species
GAUGAACGCUGGCGGCGUGCCUAAUACAUGCAAGUCGAGCGAACAGACGAGGAGCUUGCUCCUCUGACGUUAGCGGCGGACGGGUGAGUAACACGUGGAUAACCUACCUAUAAGACUGGGAUAACUUCGGGAAACCGGAGCUAAUACUGGAUAAUAUAUUCAACCGCAUGGUUCAAUAGUGAAAGACGGUUUUGCUGUCACUUAUAGAUGGAUCCGCGCCGCAUUAGCUAGUUGGUAAGGUAACGGCUUACCAAGGCGACGAUGCGUAGCCGACCUGAGAGGGUGAUCGGCCACACUGGAACUGAGACACGGUCCAGACUCCUACGGGAGGCAGCAGUAGGGAAUCUUGCGCAAUGGGCGAAAGCCUGACGGAGCAACGCCGCGUGAGUGAUGAAGGUCUUCGGAUCGUAAAACUCUGUUAUUAGGGAAGAACAAAUGUGUAAGUAACUAUGCACGUCUUGACGGUACCUAAUCAGAAAGCCACGGCUAACUACGUG